UCCGAGCUGGAUGGAAAGCAGACACGUAGGACGGAAGAAAGUCACGCUUGUGGCCAGCUUGAAAGAGCUUUUCCAGGCGCGAACCGGUGUUAGUUGGUGCACCGAUGCGGCACAGGAAAUGGCCCAGCUUAGAACCCCUUACAUGGAUGGUCUCUUCGCCGAUGGAUUGCUUGAGAAGAUCGUCGAUCUCUUGGGGGAACCAAGGAGCUGAUUUAUUAUGUGUUGACGAACAAUCGAGCACUUGGGCCACCGAAACAUCAUCGGCAAGUAUUGGACUUGUUCGAGAAUAUUCGGCCGCUCCAAGUGAACUGCCGUGGGGAACAAUUUAUUGUGAAGAAAACUCCCCACCCGGUUUCCACAUUCUGCUACAAAUCAACACCAAAUCCGACUUCCUUAGUCUGCUUCUGCACAUCAUCGACAAAGCCUGUUCCCUGACACCUUCCCACCGUUUCCCGGACGCAAAAAUAUUGAGAAGACCUCCCUGUAUGCGCUACGAUCCUGCACCGGGCUCUCAAAACACAGGAUGGUGAAUUUUUGGGCUUCGAAGCAGCCAAAAACUGACACGUAGCAGUCGGAGAUGGUGGUUUACUGCAGUAUCCGGAACAGCCUUCGAAGGACGGCAAAAAAGGCCCGGCAAUUUUUUUUUUUUUUAUUCAAUUAGUUCUUUAUUAGGCAGUUUACUUUUACAAGUUUUACGGGCCGAGGGUCAGUUAUAUAAAUCAAAUAAGGGAGAGAGAUGACUGAAGGUCAGGAUUUGGGAAGGGAAGAGGAAUGAGGUUUUUAAAAGAUUAGCUGUCCGUGCACGGGUCGAAAUUGUCCAGUUGUUACCAACUGUGUGUAGAUUUUCAUCUACACCCCGGCCCGGCAAAAUAAAAAGAUAAAAAAAAGGCCGUUCGCAGAUGAAAAGGAAAAGUCACAGGAAAAGCUUUUGGCAGCCAACCCCUUGAGUAACGGCACCGAACACGCAGGCCUUCAUAUAGCGCUGAAAAAGAUAAUCAAACUUGACCCAGAACAUCGGCAAAACGACGAGCAUGCAUCUCAGUUUGGCCAGGCUGUGAUACAGUGUCUACCGGAGGAAUCUGUAAAAACAUGGAUUGUUCGGAACCGGCCCUGCUUCCUGCUGCUUCUGAGCUUUGAGCUGAGGGUGAUUGAUGAAGUGAGUCGGGCCCACCCUGCAUUUAGGAAGCGACCAGGACUCCCCAAUGCCAGCCGGAAUGGCAAUGGAUUGAUUUUAAUGUCAUUGGCGUUGUUAAAAGAUAAAUUUUCUAAUAGUUUUGUGAAUGAAGAAUAUAAUUUGAAA